UACAGAGGGUGCAAGCGUUGUUCGGAAUUAUUGGGCGUAAAGCGCGUGUAGGCGGCUUAGCAAGUCGGGCGUGAAAGCCCUCGGCUCAACCGAGGAAGUGCACCCGAAACUGCUGAGCUUGAGUGCCGGAGAGGAUGGCGGAAUUCCCCAAGUAGAGGUGAAAUUCGUAGAUAUCGAGAGGAACACCUGCGGCGAAGGCGGGUUGCUGGGCUGACACUGACGCUGAUGCGCGAAAGCCAGGGGAGCGAACGGG
rnacentral:rRNA from 1 species